rnacentral:rRNA from 1 species
UACGUAGGGUGCGAGCGUUGUCCGGAAUCAUUGGGCGUAAAGCGCGUGUAGGCGGCUUGGUAAGUCUGCUCUGAAAGCCCGGGGCUCAACCCCGGGAGGCGGGUGGAUACUGUCAAGCUCGAGUCCGGAAGAGGAGUGUGGAAUUCCUGGUGUAGCGGUGAAAUGCGCAGAUAUCAGGAGGAACACCAAUGGCGAAGGCGACUUACUGGACACAUAUUGACGCUGAGGUGCGAAAGCGUGGGGAGCAAACAGG